GCCGGAGUGGCGGAACUGGCAGACGCGGCGGUCUUAAAAACCGCUGAGACUUCUCUCACUUGCAGGUUCGAAUCCUGCCUCCGGCACCA
rnacentral:tRNA from 1 species